rnacentral:lncRNA from 1 species
ACUGGGAACAUUAGCACACAGCAGGACCUUUCCUAUGUAGACACAGUGCAGAUUUGAUCUGUGGUGCAGCCAAACUAAAACACAGGUCAUGGAUUGUUUCCCCACUUUUGGUACGAACAAGCCCUUAAUCAAUAUCUAAUCUAGGGACGGUAACAUUGGCUAUUUGAGUGCAGGCACCCUAGGUUGUUAAUGUCUGUUUCCCAACACUAUACCAUUCCAACAUUUUUCUUUACCUAAAGUGGGAUAAUGAUCAUUAAAAAAGAACACAAUAAUUUUCCUUACAACACUGCUGAUAACUAAUAAUCACACAGUUGCAUGUAAGUUAAUUCUUUAAAUUUAAUCAGUCAUUUAUAAAACUCCCCAAUUAGUAAAAGUUGGCUUAUUUUAAUAGCCUUAAACAUUGGCUGCUAUUUAAACAAGACAUUCUAAAAAAAAAAAAAAAAAAAGGCAAUCACAUAAUAGUUUAUAGUAAUUUACAAGUGAUGGUAUACAUUUAGAUACAGAGGUAGAAGUUCACUUUUACAAUGUUUCACUAAUACACAUAUACCAAAUUCAAGGCACAAAAUAGUUUGCUUUACAAAAAAAUACUGUAAAAAUGUCAUUUGCUGUUCUACAACGUGAAUAAAACUUUCAAAAGAAUCUUUACACCUUUCCAUACAUAUGCCAUAGAAUAAGAUUUCUCCCUCUCACUCAUUAUAGUUGGCACAAAAAUGGGGACUUUUCAAUGUAGAAGUUCUCAUUCUUAAAAACUGUUUCUUUGCAGAGCUGCUAUGUAUUCUAGGUAAGAGUCCAUCCAAAGAAACGAAACACAGCAACUUCCUGAGGGAAGGGCACUUUCUGUAUGCAGCAAAAUUCAUAGGUAGAAAAUGGAUGAUCUUUUAGGAUAAUUAGGUCUCCAGACACUUAAUGAAGUAUUUCAGAGAUAAAAUUAAAAAUUCAAGGCUGGGCGCUGUGGCUCAUGCCUGUAAUCCCAGCACUUUGUGGGGCUGAGGCGGUGGAUCACGAUGUCAAGAGAUGAAGACAAUCGUGACCAACAUGGUGAAACCCCAUCUCUACUAAAAAUAUAAAAAUUAGCUGGGCAUGGUGGCACGUGCUUGUAGCCCCAGCUACUCAGGAGGCUGAGAAGGGAGAAUCACUUGAACCUGUGAGGCAGAGACUGCAGUGAGCCGAGUUUGUGCUACUGGACUCCAGCCUGGUACAGAGCGAGACUCUGUCUCAAAAAAAAAAAAAAAAAAAA